CCUACGGGAGGCAGCAGUGGGGAAUAUUGCACAAUGGGGGAAACCCUGAUGCAGCGACGCCGCGUGAGUGAAGAAGUAAUUCGUUAUGUAAAGCUCUAUCAGCAGGGAAGAAAAUGACGGUACCUGAGUAAGAAGCCCCGGCUAACUACGUGCCAGCAGCCGCGGUAAUACGUAGGGGGCAUGCGUUAUCCGGAUUUACUGGGUGUAAAGGGAGCGUAGACGGCAGUGCAAGUCUGGAGUGAAAGGCGGGGGCUCAACCCCCGGACUGCUCUGGAAACUGGACGGCUGGAGUGCAGGAGAGGUAAGUGGAAUUCCUAGUGUAGCGGUGAAAUGCGUAGAUAUUAGGAGGAACACCAGUGGCGAAGGCGGCUUACUGGACUGUAACUGACGUUGAGGCUCGAAAGCGUGGGGAGCGAACAGGAUUAGAUACCCUAGUAGUC
rnacentral:rRNA from 1 species